AUGGAUCAAGGAGAAACUGCCACCACCACUCCAAACUUCAACAACCACUACCCUGAUCAGCAGUCACUAAUAUCAAGGCCCUUCAGUCUAAUCCCUGAGAUUAUCUCACUUAUAAGUUAUACACACACAAGUCUCUUCUUUCAGAUUCUCUUUGGAAAGGACGACAGGCUAAGCUACCAAGUGAGUACAAUAAAACAGAAUCCAAAUGAAACUAGGAUAUAUAUAAAGGUGUAAUUGUGUUUAACCUGGUAAUUUAAGUUGAAUAAGAAGAGCAGUAAGGACAUCAGGGUAGUGAGGGAUGGUGACUAAAUUGGGGAUUCUAAUGGGUAAAUUAGAUAGAGAGGCUGCUUGAGGUAGAUGGAAGGUGAUGUCAAUUAAUUGGAUCAAGAUUAUGUCUCAUGUGUGCUAUCAGAGAUAUGUUACUCAGGUAGGUUGGAAAACUAGAUUCUUGAAAGAGAGAAAGUUAAGGAACUAAAAGGCCAGCGUGUUAGACAAAACUGCUAUUUUACCUUAUUUCAUUGCCUAUCCUCAUUCUUUUCCUUUGAUUUUGAUUUUUGAUCUUGAUUUAUUAUUCCUAUUUAUAAUUUGCCAUUAUUUAUUGUGUAUGCUAAAACAUGGAAUAAAGUAUGUAUCUAUAUACAUAUGCAGUUGAUUCUUAUUACUUAGAGUAAUGUUCUAUAAAGUCACCACAGGAUUGAAUUAGUGUAUAUUGACUCCUGUCUCAUUCUUAUCAACUCAUUAAUAAAUAACCUUGUAUUAUGUGUGUUCUGUUUAAAGGCAGAAACAGAUAUUAUAUAAUAUAUAGUUAAUUCAUUAACAUUAAACUCAGUCAGGUGCAGUGGCUCAUGCCCAUAAUCCCAGCAUUUUGCAAGGCUGAAGUGGGUAGAUCACUUGAGCCCAGGAGUUUGAGAUCAGCCUAGGCAAUGUAACAUAAUGUUGUCUUUACAAAAAAAAAUACAAAAUUAGACAGGUAUGGGCAUGUGCCUGUAGUCCCAGCUACUCAGGAGGCUGAGUGGGAGGAUCACUUGAGCCUGGGAGGUUGAUGCUGCAGUGAGCCAUGAUUAUGCCACUGCACUCCAGCCUGAGUGACAGAGUGAGACCUUAUCUUAAAAUAAAAAAUUAAACUCACAGCCAACUACUAGAACUUUUGCCUGACUAAAGUUUAUUUAGAACACAUAUUUUCUUCAUAAGGUACAUAUCUUAGACCAUUUUGUUUUGCUAUGAAAGAGUACCUGAGACUGAGUAAUUUAUAAAGAAAAGAGGUUUAUUUAGCUCAUGGUUCUGUAGGCUGAGAAGUUCAAGGGCAUGGCCCUGGCUCCUGGCAAGGACUUUUGUGCUCAUCAUACACAGUGUAGAAGGUCAAAGAGGAAGUAGACACAUGUGAAGAGAAGCAAACUUGAGUAGCAUCGUGGCUUUAUAGCAACCCAUUCUCUCAGGAACUAAUUUAUUCCCUCAAGUGCUAAUCAACUCAUGUGAGGGUGAGAACUCACUACCACAAGAACAGCACCAAGCUGUUCAUGAGGGUUCUGCCUCCAUAGCCAGAACAUUUUCCAAUAGGCGCCACCUUCUAAUACCACUACACUGGGGAUCAAAUUCAACAUGAGCUUUGGGGAGACAAACUAUAUCCAAACCAUAGCAGUAUGUCACAUCCUCUUUGUACUUAGGAACACUAAACAGUACUUUAGCACUAUGUUUGGGGCCACUAAACAGUGAAAUCACCAACAAACAAAAAACACAAAAAUGUGAAGAAUGUGGUAUAAAAGGACAUUUUUUUUUCCACUAUGAGAGCUGAAACCAGAAGGCAAGCUUCCUUUUCCUCUACUUCACUGGGAAUGUUUGCCCCAGGCAACUCAAAUUUUUUACCACUCUGUGAAUGCAUACGUCUACAACUGACUGAAAGUGCCAUACAUAAUGAUUUUGGAUUUGCAAACAAAUUUGAGUGAGUAGGUGAAUUCCAAAAAUGUGGAAUCAGCAAAUAAAAAAGAUGGACUCUGUAUGUAUAUGCACACGUGUAUAUAUAUAUAUACGUGUAUGUGGGU
ensembl:lncRNA